rnacentral:rRNA from 1 species
GUGAACGCUGGCGGCAGGCCUAACACAUGCAAGUCGAGCGCCCGUAGCAAUACGGGAGCGGCAGACGGGUGAGUAACACGUGGGAACGUACCCUUCGGUUCGGAAUAACCCAGGGAAACUUGGAUUAAUACUGGAUACGCCCGUAAGGAGAAAGAUUUAUCGUCGAAGGAUCGGCCCGCGUCCGAUUAGCUUGUUGGUGGGGUAAUGGCCCACCAAGGCUACGAUCGGUAGCUGGUCUGAGAGGAUGAUCAGCCACACUGGGACUGAGACACGGCCCAGACUCCUACGGGAGGCAGCAGUGGGGAAUAUUGGACAAUGGGCGCAAGCCUGAUCCAGCCAUGCCGCGUGAGUGAUGAAGGCCCUAGGGUUGUAAAGCUCUUUCGGCGGGGAAGAUAAUGACGGUACCCGCAGAAGAAGCCCCGGCUAACUUCGU